rnacentral:rRNA from 1 species
GAUGAACGCUGACAGAAUGCUUAACACAUCAGCAAUUGAUUGGUGGCGGACGGGUGAGUAACGCGUAAAGAACUUACCUCCCAGUUAGGGACAACAUUUUGAAACGAAUGCUAAUACCUAAUACUGUGAGUGAGCUUUGCGUCACAUUAGCUAGUUGGAGAGGUAACGGCUCACCAAGGCGAUGAUGGGUAGCCGGCCUGAGAGGGUGAUCGGGCACAAGGGGACUGGGACACGGGCAUUGGGCCUACGGGAGGCAGCAGUGGGGAAUAGUGGACAAUGGACCAAAGUAUGAUCCAGCAAUUCUGUGUGCAAGAUGAAGUUGUCGGAAUGUAAAGUGCUUUCAGUUGGGAAGCGGUACCAACAGAAGAAGUGACGGCUAAAUACGUGCCAGCAGCCGCGGUAAUUC